CCCUUAGAUGUUCUGGACCGCACGCGCGCUACACUGAGUGUCUGAGAUACGAGUCUGCCUGGUCCGGCAAGGUCUAGGUAAUCGCUAAAAGACACAUCAUGCUUGGGAUAGAUUAUUGCAAAUAUUAAUCUUGAACGAGGAAUUCCUAGUAAGCGCAAGUCAACAGCUUGCGUUGAUUACGUCCCUGCCCUUUGUACACACCGCCCGUCGCUACUACUGAUUGGAUGUUUAAGCGAGGUUCUCGAACUGCUAGCGACUUAGCUUCGGUGAGGUCGCAGUGUGGGAAGUGAACCUAGCUUUGGUGUCUAGAGGAAGUAAAAGUCGUAACA
rnacentral:rRNA from 1 species